CCCUAGAGGAGCCUGUUCCAUAAUCGAUAAACCCCGAUCUACCUCACCCUCUCUUGCUUAGCCUAUAUACCGCCAUCUUCAGCAAACCCUGAUAAAGGUUACAAAGUGAGCACAAACGCCCUACCGCCGCAAAAACGUUAGGUCAAGGUGUAGCCCAUGAGAGGGUAAAAAUGGGCUACAUUUUCUACAUCAGAAAACCCCACGAAAACUCUUAUGAAACCUGAGAGUCCAAGGAGGAUUUAGCAGUAAAUUAAGAAUAGAGUGCUUAAUUGAACCAGGCCAUAAAGCGCGUACACACCGCCCGUCACUCCCCUCAAAUAUAUUUAAGGAACAUCUUAACUAAACGCCCUAAUAUUUAUAUAGAGGGGAUAAGUCGUAACAUGGUAAGUGUACUGGAAGGUGCACUUGGAU
rnacentral:rRNA from 1 species